rnacentral:lncRNA from 1 species
GCCAAUGUCCUAUAGUAAGAAAUAUGAAACUAUUUUGACAAAAAAGAAAAAAAAAAAAAAAAAAGAAACACGAAACUAUGUAUCAAGUAUGAAGUACACCUCCAUUUACUGAGAAAUAGUUAGCUUAGAAGUUUACUUUUCCUUGAACACCUCCAAAAAAAAGUCCUUCACGAGUGACAUCCUGCCUUAAUGCUCGAACCUCACUAAAUGCAUCUUCUAUAUGUCUACUUCUAUCUGCAUUGACAUAAGCACAAAGAAAAAUAAAAUAAAAUCUUGUACUUCUUGGAUGGGAAUAUACUAAUUUGAUCUCAAGUAAGAGAAGUAAAUACGGAAAGAAAAGAUAAUCAUGUGGUACAAACCAAGUGGAUACACUCAAAUAUACACAAAAUUAUGAUAGUGCAAAUUCAUAUAAACAUGUAAGCCUUCUUUCUUUUUCAUGACGUCUACAAUUUUAUUUUUUUUCAGAAUAAAUUUAAGAACAGAAAUUACCUGAACACCAGUGAUAGGAUUUUUACUACUCAUGUGAACGGGCUUAAUUCUCCUAUUUUACUUGCAAGAAUCACAAGGUUAUUGUAGUAAACGGAUCUCGCAAGGUCGUCUCCACAUGGAUUAUUAAAUAAUUCGAAACUAAUCAGAUUCCAUUUAAUUAUUGUAAAGUAGAAGUUUAUGUGAUUGAUUUUAUAACCUAAUUAAAAUAAAAACGAAAUUAAUAAAUUAAAAUAAACAAUCUGCAAUACCAAAACUGGGGGAAAAAGAAAACAGUUUUGGGAGAAUCAAAUUACGAAAGCACUAGGGUUCCACCAUCACCUAGCAAUCCUAUGAACUUUUACCAAUUACUUAUGAUCUACACAUGCCACUUUAAAUGUUAGAUUUUCCUAAUUCAUAUUCUACUUGGAACCUCCAACAUAGAAUGUAUAUCAAACAUGCAACCCGUCCGGACGUUCGGAUCAAAUCUGAACAUGAAAGACUCAUUAUGCUUUAUGAAAAUCCUUUGAAAAACCAUGUAAUCCUUAAGACGUGGUAUUCAUCCUAAGUGAAAUUACAAUUAUUAAUCACAAGAAGCCAGCGUCAAUUUCAGGGAACCUUCCGACCAAAAUUGCAUCAAAUUACUUUUCUAAAGAUCCUAAUGGUGAUCAGGCAUUAAGACAAUUAGAUAGUUUUUAUCUCGGUGAUUAACAAUUCAAAGUAUGCAUGCAAUCAAUCAUAAGCAAUUAAAUAAAAAUCACAUAUUCAUGCUAAGGCUUAAGGCUUCGCCCUAGCAAAAGAAAUUAGUUACGCAUAUUCAUAAUUGAAAUCAUAGAAAAUAUAUUCAAGAAAAUGAUUGAAGCACCUUCAAGUAAAAAGUCUCCAAAACCCUAACAAUUCUCUCUGUCUCCAAGAAUUGUAUAAAAGAAAGCGUAGACAAAAAUUGUAGACGGUCUAGCAAUAUAUUUGCUAAGCCACCACACAAACCCUAGGAAACUAAAAUUAAUCAUCCAAUAAAAUAGGAAACAUAACCUUAAAUUAAAUGGUAAAAUUCGCCCAAAAUCUGAACAACCACGUUUUGGACCCAUAAGCUGCUCCAAAACUGGCCCAAUAAAGCUGGAUUUAAUGUUUGGAAUAUUCUGAACACUUUUCCAGAAGGCCACGAACCAAUCCGAGGUCAUCUUGGGCUCCAAAAACGCAAUUUAAGCCCAAAAACGUCAUUUUCCAGCACUUCGCAUCGCUCAUUUAUUUUAUCGCCAGAAAAUAACCGCUUGGUAGAAAAAUCCCAAAUUUUGAUACGAUCAAGCUAAGUAACUCACGAACGUCCUCCAACUGGAAUUACUCUAAAAUUCGUCCAUUUGAUCCUUUUUUUUCUCCAGAGGAAGUCGAAAGUCCUAUAUUGAAAAUACAAUUCAAAGUAUCAAAAUUCUUUCAAAAUAUUAACCAAAAUAUACUAAGAUUAGGGUAAAAUAUAUAAUAUAAAAUCUACUCAUCAACCAGUUAGAGGAUCACCGUAACCGGUGCACAGGAAAAGCUAGAAGUUAGUGAUACAAAAAAACAAACAACAAAGCGCAAAAAAAAUUCAUACAGAAAAUUCAUCAAUAAAAUGAAAAGAAAUUAGAGAAAAAAUCACCUCGGUUCUUCACUUCAUAUUGUCGACUUUUUUAACUUUUGGAAUGGUUGGAGCUUGGAGAUUUUAGUUUUCUUUUUUCAUAUGCAAAUAAUCACAACUGACUCGAGUUUAUUGAGUGGGAAGUUACUGGGCGAGGGAAAACACCGUAGAAACGUGUAGAUUUUAGGUUUGAAUUUGAAUCCCACGUCUACUGCAAAGAAAGAUUAAGAGGAUAAACGUGGGUUUGUGUUUAUCUUUUCUUUCUUUCUUUCUUUUUUAGGGGGGUGUAUUCAAUUAGAAUUCUCAGAGAGUUUCAGGGAAUUAAUAAUUCCAGGGGUAUUCAAUUAGGAAUUUAAAAGAUUUUAUAAAAAUCUUGGUGUAUUCGAUUGAGAUUCUUAAAGACUUCUUACAAUUCCCUAUAAAUUUAGGUGUAUUCAAUCAUAACUUUUUGAAAGUCUCUAAAAAUUUAGGUGUAUUGAAAAAGGAAUUGGAUUUGAGCGGAUUUGUGAUUUGGUGGAUUUUGGAGGAUUUCAAGGUGAUAUGUAUAAAUACCAAAGAGCUUGGCAAAUCUCACCUCAACCCUGGAAACUUUGAGAGAUUUUGAGUGUGUUGCUCUCUCCUCCAGAGAGCGUCUUCUCCAGUCUCUCCGAGCGAAGGUACAAUCUUUCUUCCUCUGCAACUUCUUCCCAUUAUUCUUCUGCUUCGAUUUUGUCCUUGUUGUGAAAGCUGCGAAUUUGUUUCUUUU